AUCAUCAUGUGAUGAAUUUGGAAAAUCUUAGGACACCUUCCUACACAGCGUUCUUUAGCUGUGAAUGAGAAUGACAUUUCCAUUCUGAUGAUGUU